rnacentral:rRNA from 1 species
CUACGGGUUGCACCAGUGGGGAAUAUUGCACAAUGGGGGGAACCCUGAUGCAGCAACGCCGCGUGGAGGAUGACGCAUUUCGGUGUGUAAACUCCUUUUAUAUGUCAAGAAAAUGACGGUAGCAUAUGAAUAAGCACCGGCUAACUCCGUGCCAGCAGCCGCGGUAAUACGGAGGGUGCAAGCGUUACUCGGAAUCACUGGGCGUAAAGGACGCGUAGGCGGGUUGGAAAGUCAGGUGUGAAAUCCUACAGCUUAACUGUAGAACUGCACUUGAAACUUCUAAUCUAGAGUAUGGGAGGGGGAGAUGGAAUUAGUGGUGUAGGGGUAAAAUCCGUAGAUAUCACUAGGAAUACCUAAAGCGAAGGCGAUCUCCUGGAACAUUACUGACACUAAGGCGUGAAAGCGUGGGGAGCAAACAGGAUUAGAUACCCUUGUAGUC